CGGGUGAGUAAUGCCUAGGAAUCUGCCUGGUAGUGGGGGACAACGUUUCGAAAGGAACGCUAAUACCGCAUACGUCCUACGGGAGAAAGCAGGGGACCUUCGGGCCUUGCGCUAUCAGAUGAGCCUAGGUCGGAUUAGCUAGUUGGUGAGGUAAUGGCUCACCAAGGCGACGAUCCGUAACUGGUCUGAGAGGAUGAUCAGUCACACUGGAACUGAGACACGGUCCAGACUCCUACGGGAGGCAGCAGUGGGGAAUAUUGGACAAUGGGCGAAAGCCUGAUCCAGCCAUGCCGCGUGUGUGAAGAAGGUCUUCGGAUUGUAAAGCACUUUAAGUUGGGAGGAAGGGUUGUAGAUUAAUACUCUGCAAUUUUGACGUUACCGACAGAAUAAGCACCGGCUAACUCUGUGCCAGCAGCCGCGGUAAUACAGAGGGUGCAAGCGUUAAUCGGAAUUACUGGGCGUAAAGCGCGCGUAGGUGGUUUGUUAAGUUGGAUGUGAAAGCCCCGGGCUCAACCUGGGAACUGCAUUCAAA
rnacentral:rRNA from 1 species